rnacentral:tRNA from 1 species
CAUUGUAUAGAUGAAAUAAGUCGUAACAUAGUAGGUUUACCGGAAGGUAAACCUAGCUUACAAAGU